UACGUAGGUGGCAAGCGUUGUCCGGAAUUAUUGGGCGUAAAGAGCUCGUAGGCGGUUGGGUAAGUCGGGUGUGAAAACUCCAGGCUCAACUUGGAGAUGCCACCCGAUACUGCUCUGACUUGAGUUCGGUAGGGGAGUGGGGAAUUCCUGGUGUAGCGGUGAAAUGCGCAGAUAUCAGGAGGAACACCGGUGGCGAAGGCGCCACUCUGGGCCGAAACUGACGCUGAGGAGCGAAAGCGUGGGUAGCAAACAGG
rnacentral:rRNA from 1 species